UGGGGAAUUUUGGACAAUGGGCGAAAGCCUGAUCCAGCAAUGCCGCGUGUGUGAAGAAGGCCUUCGGGUUGUAAAGCACUUUUGUCCGGAAAGAAAUCCUUGGCUCUAAUACAGUCGGGGGAUGACGGUACCGGAAGAAUAAGCACCGGCUAACUACGUGCCAGCAGCCGCGGUAAUACGUAGGGUGCAAGCGUUAAUCGGAAUUACUGGGCGUAAAGCGUGCGCAGGCGGUUUGCUAAGACCGAUGUGAAAUCCCCGGGCUCAACCUGGGAACUGCAUUGGUGACUGGCAGGCUAGAGUAUGGCAGAGGGGGGUAGAAUCCCACGUGUAGCAGUGAAAUGCGUAGAGAUGUGGAGGAAUACCGAUGGCGAAGGCAGCCCCCUGGGCCAAUACUGACGCUCAUGCACGAAAAGGCGUGGGGGAGCAAAACAGGAUUAGAUACCCUGGUAGUCCACGCCCUAAAACGAUGUCAACUAGUUGUUGGGAUUCAUUCCUUAGUAACGUAGCUAACGCGUGAAGUUGACCGCCUGGGGAGUACGGUCGCAAGAUUAAAA
rnacentral:rRNA from 1 species